UUGCAGCCAAUUAAGCCAACCAUGCUCUUUUCUCCGUGGGGGCCCGGUGUGCAAUGGCUGCAAACAGCAGCCUCCUCCGUAAUGUAUGCAGCCUGUUGCCUGUAUGGGUUGCCCUAAGAGAUCCUGGAAACAGCC
rnacentral:snoRNA from 1 species